UUGAUCCUGGCUCAGGAUGAACGCUAGCUACAGGCUUAACACAUGCAAGUCGAGGGGCAGCAUUGGAGUAGCAAUACUUCAGAUGGCGACCGGCGCACGGGUGAGUAACACGUAUCCAACCUGCCGCUUACUCGGGGAUAGCCUUUCGAAAGAAAGAUUAAUACCCGAUGGUAUAAAGAGUUCGCAUGUUCUCUUUAUUAAAGAAUUUCGGUAAGCGAUGGGGAUGCGUUCCAUUAGAUUGUUGGCGGGGUAACGGCCCACCAAGUCUACGAUGGAUAGGGGUUCUGAGAGGAAGGUCCCCCACAUUGGAACUGAGACACGGUCCAAAUCCUACGGGAGGCAGCAGUGAGGAAUAUUGGUCAAUGGACGCGAGUCUGAACCAGCCAAGUAGCGUGAAGGAUGACUGCCCUAUGGGUUGUAAACUUCUUUUAUAAGGGAAUAAAGUGAGGGACGUGUCCCUUUUUGUAUGUACCUUAUGAAUAAGGAUCGGCUAACUCCGUGCCAGCAGCCGCGGUAAUACGGAGGAUCCAAGCGUUAUCCGGAUUUAUUGGGUUUAAAGGGAGCGUAGGUUGACAUAUAAGUCAGCUGUGAAAGUUUACGGCUCAACCGUGAAAUUGCAGUUGAUACUGUAUGUCUUGAGUGUACAAGAGGUGGGCGGAAUUCGUGGUGUAGCGGUGAAAUGCUUAGAUAUCACGAAGAACUCCAAUUGCGAAGGCAGCUCACUGGGGUACAACUGACACUGAGGCUCGAAAGUGUGGGUAUCAAACAGGAUUAGAUACCCUGGUAGUCCACACAGUAAACGAUGAAUACUCGCUGUUUGCGAUAUACAGUAAGCGGCCAAGCGAAAGCAUUAAGUAUUCCACCUGGGGAGUACGCCGGCAACGGUGAAACUCAAAGGAAUUGACGGGGGCCCGCACAAGCGGAGGAACAUGUGGUUUAAUUCGAUGAUACGCGAGGAACCUUACCCGGGCUUGAAUUGCAGAGGAACAUAGUUGAAAGAUUAUGGCCGCAAGGUCUCUGUGAAGGUGCUGCAUGGUUGUCGUCAGCUCGUGCCGUGAGGUGUCGGCUUAAGUGCCAUAACGAGCGCAACCCUUAUCAUUAGUUACUAACAGGUGAUGCUGAGGACUCUAGUGAGACUGCCGUCGUAAGAUGUGAGGAAGGUGG
rnacentral:rRNA from 1 species